AUACGUAGGUGACAAGCGUUAUCCGGAUUUACUGGGCGUAAAGGGCGUGUAGGCGGUCUUGCAAGUCAGAAGUGAAAUUCCUGAGCUCAACUCGGGCGCUGCUUCUGAAACUGCAGGACUUGAGUGCUGGAGGGGAUAGCGGAAUUCCUAGUGGAGCGGUAAAAUGCGCAGAUAUUAGGAAGAACAUCGGUGGCGAAGGCGGCUAUCUGGACAGUAACUGACGCUGAGGCGCGAAAGCGUGGGGAGCAAACAGGAUUAGAUAUCCUGGUAGUCCACGCUGUAAACGAUGAAUACUAGGUGUAGGGGGUAUCGACUCCCUCUGUGCCGCAGUUAACACAAUAAGUAUUCCGCCUGGGGAGUACGGCCGCAAGGUUGAAACUCAAAUGAAUUGACGGGG
rnacentral:rRNA from 1 species